rnacentral:rRNA from 1 species
GAUGAACGCUAGCUACAGGCUUAACACAUGCAAGUCGAGGGGAAACGACAUCGAAAGCUUGCUUUUGAUGGGCGUCGACCGGCGCACGGGUGAGUAACGCGUAUCCAACCUGCCCACCACUUGGGGAUAACCUUGCGAAAGUAAGACUAAUACCCAAUGACGUCUCUAGAAGACAUCUGAAGGAGAUUAAAGAUUUAUCGGUGAUGGAUGGGGAUGCGUCUGAUUAGCUUGUUGGCGGGGUAACGGCCCACCAAGGCGACGAUCAGUAGGGGCUCUGAGAGGAAGGUCCCCCACAUUGGAACUGAGACACGGUCCAAACUCCUACGGGAGGCAGCAGUGAGGAAUAUUGGUCAAUGGACGAGAGUCUGAACCAGCCAAGUAGCGUGCAGGAUGACGGCCCUAUGGGUUGUAAACUGCUUUUAUAAGGGAAUAAAGUGAGUCUCGUGAGACUUUUUGCAUGUACCUUGUGAAUAAGGACCGGCUAAUUCCGUGCCAGCCGCCGCCGUAA